CGAAGGUCCCAAGCGUUAUCCGGAUUUAUUGGGUUUAAAGGGUGCGUAGGCGGCUUAUUAAGUCAGUGGUGAAAGCUCCAAGCUUAACUUGGGAACUGCCAUUGAUACUGAUGAGCUUGAGUAGAUUUGAGGCGGGCGGAAUGUGUCGUGUAGCGGUGAAAUGCUUAGAUAUGACACAGAACACCAAUUGCGUAGGCAGCUCGCUAAACUCUUACUGACGCUGAGGCACGAAAGCAUGGGGAUCAAACAGGAUUAGAUACCCUGGUAGUCCAUGCCCUAAACGAUGAUUACUCGAUGUGUGCGAUACACUGUACGCGUCUGAGCGAAAGCAUUAAGUAAUCCACCUGGGGAUACGGUCGCAAGACUG
rnacentral:rRNA from 1 species